rnacentral:lncRNA from 1 species
GACUUCUGUUUUCAGGCUACCAUAGUCAUAUCCCAGCCAGCAGUGAGGAAAAAAUUGGUAGCCAGGAGAGUAUCUUAUCUCUUAGAGCUCAUGGAGUUGCACAUAGUCUUUCCACAUGUAUGUGUCAUAUGGCCUGGAUUUAGGUUGCUCUGUCUAGCUGUGCUGGUGGCUAGAAAAGGAAGCUUUUAUCAUUAACUAUCAUAUUUUCUCAUGAAAAAUGCACAGCUAUCUUAUUGGAAAUAUUCAUAAUUUUCAAAAAAUAUAAUUAAAAAUUAGGGAAGUAUUUGUGUAAGGUAAAUUUCUAAUUAGUGCUUACACUAAGAUCACUGUAGCUGCCUGCCUCCCAAAGUCCAUGCUGGGGUCACUCACUGCAGACAAGGAGCUGCCGGCAUGCCUCUAUUUUAUACUACCGAACGUUGGGAGACACCAGACCCGACACACUUGCCACAUAACAAUCUUUCCUAAAGUAUUAUAAAGUCUAGUUUGACUUGUUUAUUUUAACAAGUAAUGAGUUAAAAAAAAAGAUACCUCAUAAAAGUAACAGAUGAUGAUUUAUUGUAAUGAUGAUUACAUCAUUGUACCUUUGUACUAUUUACCAAAUUAUCCAUGCAGUCUUUUAAUGUUAGAAAAACCAAACGUAUGUGCCAGAAAGCAAGACAGUUUGUCAUCAGGCAUUAAUAAAAAUUAAAACUUUUGCUCAGAACUUUGAGCCUAUAAUUAAAAAAAACACACACACAAGUUUUCUUAUUACUGGUAACAUUUUAUUUGGAAAACUAAUUUUAUUAAUCUCUUUUAGCUUCCUCUAUCAUCUUUGUCCCAGGACAGCAAACUGGUAUAUAUACAACUGCUAUGGGAUAAUAUCAACCUUCAUCAGGAGCCAGGAGAGCCUCUGUAUGUCUCUUGGAGGAACUUGAAGGAGUUUAUACAGAGAAAUCCUUUUCUUAUCAUUAGUGUCUCUUGGGAGAGAAAACAUUGAUAUUGAGGCUUUUGACAAUGAAUAUGGACUCGCAUAUAGAAGUCUGUCUUCAGAGAUUCUUGAAAAGUUACAGAAAAUCGAUGCCCCACCCAGUAUCAGUGUGGAGUGGUGCAGGAAGUGUUUUGGAGCACCUCUCAUUUAAAUAAGAUUCAUUCAAAUUUUGGUAGAGUAUUGGGGAAAUAGACCUGUCGGGAAACUGUUCUUCCCAAAUCAUAACUUGGUGAAAGCUGAGGAUGAAAUACAAAUGAACUGUAUUUCAUACUGAAUCUCUCAGAAUGUAAAACACCACUCAGUUCCCCAAGGCUUAUUGAUGUUGGAGAUUCCUGACCUAUUUCCCUGCCUCUGCUGAAAACGCAUAGUAUGUGUAAAAAAAAAAAUGAAAUUUUCA